GUGGCGCACGGGUGAGUAACGCGUGGGGACCUACCUCUUAGUGGGGGAUAACGGUUGGAAACGACCGCUAAUACCGCAUACGCCCUUCGGGGGAAAGAUUUAUCGCUAAGAGAUGGACCCGCGUUGGAUUAGAUAGUUGGUGAGGUAACGGCUCACCAAGUCAGCGAUCCAUAGCUGGUUUGAGAGGAUGAUCAGCCACACUGGGACUGAGACACGGCCCAGACUCCUACGGGAGGCAGCAGUGGGGAAUAUUGGACAAUGGGGGCAACCCUGAUCCAGCCAUGCCGCGUGAGUGAAGAAGGCCUUCGGGUUGUAAAGCUCUUUCAGAUGCGAAGAUGAUGACGGUAACAUCAGAAGAAGC
rnacentral:rRNA from 1 species